rnacentral:tRNA from 1 species
GUCGCAGUAGCUUAUUAAAGCA